GAUGAACGCUAGCGGCAGGCUUAAUACAUGCAAGUCGAGGGGCAGCAUGAGUGUAGCAAUACAUUUGAUGGCGACCGGCAAACGGGUGCGGAACACGUACACAACCUUCCUAUAAGUGGGGAAUAGCCCAGAGAAAUUUGGAUUAAUACCCCGUAACAUAAUGAUGUGGCAUCACAUUAUUAUUAUAGCUACGGCGCUUAUUGAUGGGUGUGCGGCUGAUUAGAUAGUUGGCGGGGUAACGGCCCACCAAGUCUACGAUCAGUAGCUGAUGUGAGAGAAUGAUCAGCCCGACGGGCACUGAGACACGGGCCCGACUCCUACGGGAGGCAGCAGUAAGGAAUAUUGGUCAAUGGACGCAAGUCUGAACCAGCCAUGCCGCGUGAAGGAUUAAGGUCCUCUGGAUUGUAAACUUCUUUUAUCUGGGACGAAAAAAGGCGAUUCUUCGUCACUUGACGGUACCAGAUGAAUAAGCACCGGCUAACUCCGUGCCAGCCGCCGCGGUAAGAC
rnacentral:rRNA from 1 species